UGGGGGAGGAGGGAAGCACGGAUAAAGCCUCCUUGGAGGGACCCCAGCCUUCCCUUCGGUCAGUGUGGGUCAGCGGAGGUGCUUUGGGGGGACCACUCUGGCCAGAACAGGAGGCCCCCAUGGUCCCUACACACACUCACUUGCUCCAGGUUGUCUGGGUCUCACCAAUAGGAACGCAGACAGGUGACCGGUCACCUUAGAGAGCCUAACUCCUCAGAGCCCCCGUG